CAAUAGCGUAUAUUAAAGUUGUUGCAGUUAAAAAGCUCGUAGUUGGAUUUGUGGCGUACGGUGUGUUCCGGGCACUUGUUGUCUGAGUAACCUGCUGUUGCCAUCCUUGGGUGGAACCUGCGUGGCAUUAGGUUGUCGUGCAGGGGAUGCCCAUCAUUUACUGUGAAAAAAUUAGAGUGUUCAAAGCAGGCUUAUGCCGUUGAAUAUAUUAGCAUGGAAUAAUGAGAUAGGACUUUUUUGCUAUUUUGUUGGUUUGCGCAAAGAGGUAAUGAUUAAUAGGGACAGUUGGGGGUAUUCGUAUUCCAUUGUCAGAGGUGAAAUUCUUGGAUUUUUGGAAGACGAACUACUGCGAAAGCAUUUACCAAGGAUGUUUUCAUUAA
rnacentral:rRNA from 1 species